AAAUUGAAGAGUUUGAUCAUGGCUCAGAUUGAACGCUGGCGGCAGGCCUAACACAUGCAAGUCGAACGGUAACAGAAAGAAGCUUGCUUCUUUGCUGACGAGUGGCGGACGGGUGAGUAAUGUCUGGGAAACUGCCUGAUGGAGGGGGAUAACUACUGGAAACGGUAGCUAAUACCGCAUAACGUCGCAAGACCAAAGAGGGGGACCUUCGGGCCUCUUGCCAUCGGAUGUGCCCAGAUGGGAUUAGCUAGUAGGUGGGGUAACGGCUCACCUAGGCGACGAUCCCUAGCUGGUCUGAGAGGAUGACCAGCCACACUGGAACUGAGACACGGUCCAGACUCCUACGGGAGGCAGCAGUGGGGAAUAUUGCACAAUGGGCGCAAGCCUGAUGCAGCCAUGCCGCGUGUAUGAAGAAGGCCUUCGGGUUGUAAAGUACUUUCAGCGGGGAGGAAGGGAGUAAAGUUAAUACCUUU
rnacentral:rRNA from 1 species